rnacentral:rRNA from 1 species
UGCAGUCGAGCGCACCUUCGGGUGAGCGGCGGACGGGUGAGUAACGCGUGGGAAUAUGCCCUUCUCUAAGGAAUAGCCACUGGAAACGGUGAGUAAUACCUUAUACGCCCUUCGGGGGAAAGAUUUAUCGGAGAAGGAUUAGCCCGCGUCUGAUUAGGUAGUUGGUGGGGUAAUGGCCUACCAAGCCUACGAUCAGUAGCUGGUUUGAGAGGAUGAUCAGCCACACUGGAACUGAGACACGGUCCAGACUCCUACGGGAGGCAGCAGUAGGGAAUCUUAGACAAUGGGCGCAAGCCUGAUCUAGCCAUGCCGCGUGUGUGACGAAGGCCCUAGGGUCGUAAAGCACUUUCGCCAGAGAUGAUAAUGACAGUAUCUGGUAAAGAAACCCCGGCUAACUCCGUGCCAGCAGCCGCGGUAAUACGGAGGGGGUUAGCGUUGUUCGGAAUUACUGGGCGUAAAGCGUACGUAGGCGGACUAGUCAGUCAGAGGUGAAAUCCCAGGGCUCAACCCUGGAACUGCCUUUGAUACUGCUAGUCUUGAGUUCGAGAGAGGUGAGUGGAAUUCCAAGUGUAGAGGUGAAAUUCGUAGAUAUUUGGAGGACACCAGUGGCGAAAAGCGGCUUACUGGCUCGAUACUGGACGCUGACGUAACGAAAGUG